AAUCAAGUGCCUUAAGGGUGUUCGGUGGAUGCCUUGGCGCUGAGAGGCGAUGAAGGACGUGCUACGCUGCGAUAAGCCGUGGGGAGCUGCGAAGAAGCUUUGAUCCGCGGAUUUCCGAAUGGGGAAACCCACCUUCGAUAGCCGGAACUCCAAGACCUCGUGUUGACUGACUUCGGUCGGGAGAUGCGAUGUUUUGGUGUUUUAAGCAGAGAUGCUUGGAAGCCAGAUCGAGACGCGAAAGUGUCGAGGUUUUGGAUUUCCGGUUAUCAAGAGAAGGUAUGAGACUUCUGAAUACAUAGGAGGUUUCAAGCGAACCCAGGGAACUGAAACAUCUAAGUACCUGGAGGAAAGGACAUCAACAGAGACUCCGCUAGUAGUGGCGAGCGAACGCGGACCAGGCCAGUCAUGAAUGCAAGCCAACCAGAACCUGUCAGGAAAGCAGGGCCUCAGAGGGUGAUAGCCCCGUAUGGGUAAUGCAAACAUUCAUGCUCGAGUACGGCGGA
rnacentral:rRNA from 1 species